CUUUUGUCCUUUUAGGGCUGCACCUCGGCAUAUGGAGGCUUCCAGGCUAGGGAUCAAAUUGGAGCUACAGCUGCCAGCCUAAACCAGAGCCACAGCAAUGAGGGAUCCAAGCCGCAUCUGUGACCUACACCACAGCUCACGGCAACAGCGGAUCCUUAACCCACUGAGCAAGGCCACGGAUCAAACCUGCAACCUCAUGGUUCCUAGUCAGAUUGAUUAACCACUGAGCCAUGAUGGGAACUCCCAAGAAUACAAAGAAAGCUAUCCCUACAGAAGACCCCUCUAGGGGGUUCUUAUUAAGAUUAGGUUUGGAAAAAAAGCUCACGAAAAAUUUCCAGGCUGAUUCAGAGACAUGAAGUGUGUGUUUGUGACCCAUCGACAGAGCUUUUUUUUUUGUUUGUUUGUUUGUCUUUUUGUCUUUUCUAGGGCCGCUCCUGCGGCAUAUGGAAGUUCCUAGGCUAGGGGUCAAAUCAGAGCUGUGGCUGCCAGCCUCCACCAGAGCCACAGCAACUUGGGAUCUAAGCUGUGUCUGCGACCUACACCACAGUCCAUGGCAACGCCGGAUCCCACUGAGCGAGGUCAGGGAUCGAACCCGCAACCUUGUGGUUCCUAGCCGGAUUCGGAUUCGUUACUCCUGCGCCACGCCACGCCACGCCACGCCACGCCGGCACUCCCGAGACACUUUUUUUUUAAAAGGAUAUGUUUAAAUUCUUAAAGUAAUAAAAAUGAAAACAAAAUAAUUUGGACACGGAUUCUGAUCACUGUGAAGAGGUCAUAUGUCAUGAUUACCAUAGUUACACUGUUAUGUAAUAACAGGCAAGUUGUUGAGACCAAAUCCUAAAGAGUUCUUAUCACAAGGAUAAUUUUUUUCUUUUCUCUUUUUAAGAUGGACCUGAAACUACUGUGGUGGUAAUCAUUUCACAAUAUAUCUAAAUCAAACCAUUAUGCCUUAAACUUAUACAGUGGUAUAUGACAAUUAUUUCUCAAUAAAGCUGGGAGAAAGUUUACAAAACAUUCACUUUUCUUCUUUUGCUCUUAACAUUUUAUGUCAAAACUAUACACUAAGAAGAAUAAUCUAAAAUCCUUGCCUCAUAAACUCCCAGUAUAAUAAGAGCUAUCAAAUGAUCAUCUUUAAAAUAUACUAGAGAGUGAGUUUUCAUGAUACUGAGAUUUAGAUAACAGAGUCAGUACUGGUCUUUAAAUGAAUGCUUCUACCAAGACUUAAAAACUCAACAGAGUUGUGUUUGAGAUGCAUGCACUGACCAGAGCACAGAAUAUAUACAUAAAAGACCUACUUGUCAGAUGAAAGCUAACAAGCACAUGAAUGAAGUACUAACUUAAUUUUUGCAUUAUCUAACACUGCAGCUACAUAGUGCCUUUGAGCACUUAAAAUGUGUCAACAGAUUUUACUUUGAUUUAAAUCUAAAAUUUUGUAUAAAGCAUUUUUUCAUUAAGUACAACUUUGUUAUGAUAGCACAAUUCAAUUUAACCACUGAAAACUCAGCAUCCAAAUUAAGAUGGAAUGACUGGUAAGUGUAAAACACACUCUGGAUUUUGAAAACUUAGUACCUCUAAAAAUGUAAGCUACAUUGUGGAACUGGAUAUUGAUAAGAUACUCUUGGUUACACCAUGUAAAAUAAAAUAUUACUAAAAUCAAUUCCACCUAUCACUUUUUAACUUUUUUAAUGUGAAUGUUAGAAGCCUGUGGCUCACAUUAUAUUUAUAUUGGAUACCAUCAUUAUAGUUGCUUCAUAAGUUUAAAAGGGACCCAACAGGAAACAAAUCAGAAACAAUAAUAGGUCUAUAAAACUAUAAAGACGUCCUUACAUUUAGAAAUCCCCUUCAAGAACACUAUUACCUAUGGCUACAUCUGAGGUGAGUUUUUAGAGGAGGAUGAAGCUGAACUCAUCUAAGACCUUCACUUUUCAUUUCAUGAAGUUUUAAGAAAUUAGUUUUUCAAAAAUAAGUAUGUAGUUACAUUAAUGGUUUUAAAUCUAUAAGAAACCAAUCAAUAGCAGGAAAUACAAAUUAUAGCUACCUGUAGAAAAGUCUCUAAAAGUUUAGAGCCUUUAAAAAUGAUUUCCUAAGACCACUCAAGGCAAUGAUAUAUUAAUAGCUCUUUAUCAAUGACUGCUCGUUCAGUGGAGAUUACAACUAGUUUAUGGUUUGCUUCUGGUGUAGGAUACAUUUAGUCUUUUAAAAGUGCCAUUUUCUGGCAGUAUUUCAUUGUUCCUCUCAAUAUUAUACUAUAUAGAUCACCCAUAAACAAUGAGACAAAAAGGAGAAGGUUUUAGGCAAUUUUCUAAGUGGUAUUCAUUGUGGACAUAUUUUUAACACCUGAUAUAAAGCUAAAUUAGCAGCCGAAAGCUAAAAACCAUCCCAGCCACUUGAAUAUAUGAAAUGCUGUUGAAAUGUCUAUUUGUAGGGUAGGAUUUGGUAGGAUGGGCGAAGACAGACAGGGGUGGGCUGGCCUAAGCUGCUGCUUGUGGGCCACAUACCCUGGCUAUGCCACUGCAGGUACUAUAACAAAAUGAAAACGUGUUUAUGCGAAGGUCCAGUUAUGGGAUUACCUAAUCGCUGCCAACAUGUUAGUUUUGGCAUAUAGGGUUUAGCAGCUUACUGAGAAGCUUUACGCUGAAGGGGACAAGGCAAUAUGGAGCAAGCACUGUGAAGUGGAGACCAUCUAUAAUUAUCCAGUGUGGAAAAGAGUCCUGGUCAAGCAUACCUAAGUCUCACUGAUAUCAUUUCAUAUAUAUCAUGUGUCACUCACACUCCUCUACAAGCACAGAGUACAUAUGUACAAGCACAAAUGGUCUGAAAUUAUUUUGGGACCCCCAAAUGCUACAUGACUGAUAAUUAAGGCCUCUACAAAUAAUGCUUCCAUAUGCUGCAGGUAU
rnacentral:lncRNA from 1 species